rnacentral:misc_RNA from 1 species
AUAUAUAUAUCAAACUUCUCUUGUUGAGUGGUUUGGAUGUGGGGGUUUGCUGGCCUUGUAAAGGGUUCAGCUCCCCUGAAAUGCAUUAGCAGAACAACCCUGUUCAUUGGUGUGAUAACUAUCUACGCUAUUGAAUGUAAGGGGCAGUUCAGCUUUCUAACAGUCCUCGGACAAUUCAUCAUUA